UACGUAGGGCGCAAGCGUUGUCCGGAAUUAUUGGGCGUAAAGAGCUCGUAGGCGGUUUGUCGCGUCUGCUGUGAAAACCUAAGGCUCAACCUUGGGCUUGCAGUGGGUACGGGCAGACUAGAGUGCGGUAGGGGUGACUGGAAUUCCUGGUGUAGCGGUGGAAUGCGCAGAUAUCAGGAGGAACACCGAUGGCGAAGGCAGUUCACUGGGCCGCAACUGACGCUGAGGAGCGAAAGCGUGGGGAGCGAACAGG
rnacentral:rRNA from 1 species